UACGGANGGUGCGAGCGUUAAUCGGAAUUACUGGGCGUAAAGCGCACGCAGGCGGUUUGUUAAGCUAGAUGUGAAGGCCCCGGGCUCAACCUGGGAUGGUCAUUUAGAACUGGCAGACUAGAGUCUUGGAGAGGGGAGUGGAAUUCCAGGUGUAGCGGUGAAAUGCGUAGAUAUCUGGAGGAACAUCAGUGGCGAAGGCGACUCCCUGGCCAAAGACUGACGCUCAUGUGCGAAAGUGUGGGUAGCGAACAGG
rnacentral:rRNA from 1 species